GGUUCGAUGGCGAAGUUGGUUAUCGCAUCUGUCUCACACGAAACGUCCAAACGAUUCACCUAUCACAGAAGGCCCCCGGUUCGAGCCCGGGUCGAACCA
rnacentral:tRNA from 1 species